AACGAACGCUGGCGGCGCGCCUAAUACAUGCAAGUCGAGCGAGAAGGUGUAGCAAUACACUUGUAAAGCGGCGAACGGGUGAGUAAUGCAUCGGAACGUGCCCAGUCGUGGGGGAUAACGCAGCGAAAGCUGCGCUAAUACCGCAUACGAUCUAUGGAUGAAAGCGGGGGACCGUAAGGCCUCGCGCGAUUGGAGCGGCCGAUGUCAGAUUAGGUAGUUGGUGGGGUAAAGGCUCACCAAGCCAACGAUCUGUAGCUGGUCUGAGAGGACGACCAGCCACACUGGGACUGAGACACGGCCCAGACUCCUACGGGAGGCAGCAGUGGGGAAUUUUGGACAAUGGGCGCAAGCCUGAUCCAGCAGUGCCGCGUGCAGGAAGAAGGGCCUUCGGGUUGU
rnacentral:rRNA from 1 species